UACAGAGGUCCCGAGCGUUGUUCGGAUUCACUGGGCGUAAAGGGUGCGUAGGUGGUGAGGAAAGUCGGAUGUGAAAUCUCCGAGCUCAACUCGGAAAUGGCAUUGGAAACUACCUUGCUCGAGGGUUGGAGGGGGACUGGAAUACUUGGUGUAGCGGUGAAAUGCGCAGAUAUCAGGAGGAACACCAGUGGCGAAGGCGGCUCACUGGCCCGGAACUGACGCCUGAGGUGACGAAAGCGUUGGGGAGCAA
rnacentral:rRNA from 1 species